rnacentral:lncRNA from 1 species
AUGAAUAAAAAGAUGGCUGCUUCCAGGAGAGACAGAGCAGAGCAGGGAUCCGGACCACGUCUCCCAGGGGACUUCCUGUGGCGGCAAGAUGACAGGUGUAACCUCAGAGAACCCUCUGUACUCCCUUCCUUCUCACUGCCCCCCCUUUCUACUCCGAGAGUGCAUUUGUCACAGGACCUGAACACAUCCUUAGCUGCUAAUGUGAAAACAUAUUCUCUUCUUGCCGGGGCUCAAAGCCUGCACUUUGCACCUCCGCAUGCACUUGGGGAACUCCAGGUGCUUUCACACAGGUGA